rnacentral:rRNA from 1 species
AUUGAAUGCUGGCGGCAUGCCUUACACAUGCAAGUCGAACGGCAGCACGGACUUCGGUCUGGUGGCGAGUGGCGAACGGGUGAGUAAAGUAUCGGAACGUACCCUAGAGUGGGGGAUAACUAUCCGAAAGGAUAGCUAAUACCGCAUAUUCUAUGAGUAGGAAAGCAGGGGAUCGCAAGACCUUGUGCUCUGGGAGCGGCCGAUAUCAGAUUAGCUAGUUGGUGAGGUAAAGGCUCACCAAGGCGACGAUCUGUAGCGGGUCUGGGAGGAUGAUCCGCCACACUGGAACUGAGACACGGUCCAGACUCCUACGGGAGGCAGCAGUGGGGAAUGUUGGACAAUGGGCGCAAGCCUGAUCCAGCAAUGCCGCGUGCAGGAUGAAGGCCUUCGGGUUGUAAACUGCCUUUGUACGGAACGAAAAGCCCCGGGUUAAUACCCUGGGGUCAUGACGGUACCGUAAGAAUAAGCACCGGCUAACUACGUGCCAGCCGCCGCUGUAA